GUCUAGAGAGACUUGGUGGAGGAGGCCACGGCCCGCCUUGUCCCUGCCGGGUCCCGGCCAGGUGUGUGUGUGCCCCAGCUCGACUCUCGGUGGUCUCCAGGCUGCAGCAGAAGGAAUACCUUGGAAUUGGAUGCCGGCUGGCCCCCCUGAUGGUUCCUGGCCUAGGGGCUGUCAUGGCAGAGGGAAGCCACCAAGGUGCCAUUGAGGAUUGGUGUCUGGCUCUCUAUGGGCAAGAGCGCCAGGGGACACACAGUGGGACCGGAACCUUCCAGAAUGUCUCCUCAGUCAGGUUUUCAAGGGGGAGGGAAUGCGGAGACAGGAGAAAAAAAGUGCUGAGGGCCAAAGCUGGUGCAGGGUGACGGUGCGUCUGGGUAAGGCAAAUGAGAGGCAGUGAGGUGAUCUCAGAAUGGCGUUGAGGCGGUCAGAUUAGGCCGGGCUGGCUCACACGAGGGUCCCGGGCUUGGCUUUUUCCUGCCCGUACCACUGGACAUCAGCUAGUUCUGGAUAGAGGGAGGAAUCCAGGAAACAGCUAUCAUUGUAGCUCCUGUGGGAGGCCCAAGAAAGGAGAUGAGACAGUUAGUUAGUGGAGGAGGAUGGGUUCAGCCAGGCCUGCACUGAGAAGGAUAUGUUCACCUUGACAGGGCCCUGUGCUAAUCACGAGUCUUUCCUGUUCGGAGCAGUGAGGCCUGAGACCCUCAACAGUGCUGUGUGUACAGAAGGCCCCCAGAAUCCACACAAAGGGGCCGCCUGAAACCUAGAGCAUUUGUGAAGGAGGAAAAUGGAAGGUAACUUACUCAGUGCGGUGGUUCUUCAGCGUGGCUGCAUCCGGGGAGCACCUGGGAACUCCCAGAAAUACUCAUGCCUGGGCCCAAUUGAUUUGGGGUGUGUUUGAGCGCUGAGAACUGUCAAAGCUCCCCACCAGGUGAUUCUCAGAUGCAGCCAAAGCCAGAACCUCUGGGCUUUCCUCAGGGGACUUUUCCCACACGACAGCUGCCCGGGUUGUCCUCCGUGAGACCCCAGGGCUAACAGAUGUCACUAGGAAAUUUUUAUUCUGUCCUGGAAGAACAUUC
rnacentral:lncRNA from 10 species